AUGGCGCCGCCCGGGAGGAAGCCUGAUGCCGGCUCUCUCCCGGGAAACCGGGCCUGGCAGUCCGGUCAAGUUCGGAUUAAACCCCAAAUCGACGUCUUUUUCCUUCCUCUCCUCCCACUCCAAUCCCUCUAUCUUCCCUCCUCCCCUCCCUCCCCACUCCACACACCCCCAAAGUGUCCAGUGCUUCGCUUCGCACCCACUCAACUCCGUCUUGCUUUCUUCGUUCAGCCUGUCCCCCUGUCCCUGGAGCUGCAGGCCCCGGGCCUCUCCCCGGGCUCGCUCCCCUCUCUCCCCUUCUCUCCACGCUUUUUCCUCUUUGUUACUCCCCAAAUCUCCCUCCUUUCUCACGCCGUCUCCUUCUCCCUCUCCCUCGUCUUCUCCAUCUCCCACCGGGCUCUUUCGGAGACGCCUCGGCCCCGGGCCCGAGGUGCCGACGGGGGUGCCGGGUGUUCUGGAGGCCAGAGGGGACCCCCGCUCCCUGCUCAGGAAGAAGCCACCUCGAGCCGCUCCCGGGCCACCUCUGUCCAGGGCAGCUUCCAGACAUCCCGGUCCUGCCGACUCGGCGCAAUCAAGCACAGGUUCAACAUCACCCGCGGGCGGUCGCCGGGCGCAAAAUCGCAGACGUGGUUUCACCUACCUUGAGUCGCUCUCCCGUCUCCGCUGUCUGGGCCCGGGAAUCCGAGGGCCUGCAGCCGCCGUUCUUCCUCUUCCUCCUCCUGCUCCGCCGCCGCUGCAGCCGCCUCUGCCUCCACCGCCAAGGUUGCAACUCCCGGAGCCAGUUAUCCGGAUCAGUGGGGACCUAUCGGGAACCGCCGAAGCCGCCCGAGCGAGGCAGCGCCCUGAGCCAGCCUGCCGCGAGGUGACAGAGCCGCGCUCUUCCAUUAUAUAUUUAUAUAGCGCCCAGGCGGGAGGUAUAUAAAUAUAUAUAUUCCACCAAUCACCAAAAUCCAGUCCACAGACCUCAGGUUCCUGCAAAAAGCGCGCUCCCCCCACCCCCCGCACCCCUCUCCCCACGCCUUCGUAGGAUCCAUCCGGAUCCGCAUCCGGCGGGAUCGAAAACACGGGCCGGGCCUCCCGGUAAUUCUCCCUCUCCGGGGGUGUCCCUGGAGGUCCCGGGGGAUCCUUGCCUCCUUAUCUCUUUGCCUCCUCCCCCUAUCCUCUCCCCCCGCACCCCGAGGACAAGCGGAAACCAGAGCCUAGGCGCCCCCUCCCCCUCCCUCCUUCUCCCACCUGCGGGAGCGGCCGGAGCCCCCGAUCCAGGGCAGAAACGGCCCGAGGCCCCCGACUCGCGUUGGCCCAAACUAGGGGGUGGGGUGGGGGUGGGAAGGAAUCAUCCCCGCUGCGGCUCCCGGCCUCCCCGCCUCACGGACCGUCCGGCUUGCGGGUUGCUUUCUUCUCCCUCGACAGCAGCAGCAGCCCCCGUGCUCCUCUAUAAAUCUGCUCCUCUCUCCGAUAUCAUAAUUAAGAAGGAACGGUAGGGGAGAUUUUAACUUUUAUUGCGUUUCUGGAGUUGGGCCGCCGAGCAUAUAUUAAGUUUACGCUUUGCUCUCUCGGCGGGGGGGCGGGAGAGAGGGAGUUUUUUAAGAAAUAAAAAUCUAUCUUCAUAUCCACAGGCGAGCGAGAGUAGGGGGUGAGGGGAUUCUUUUCGGGCCUUCUCUCGGCAGCCGAAGCUCCCGGAAUCUGGGUGGGGAUUGGGCCCAGGGCGGGGGCCUAGGGCGGGGGCCCAACUGGGGUUCCCCGCCGUCCGGAACGAGAACGGGGGGAACACCGGAGGGAGGGG